UACGUAGGGUGCAAGCGUUGUCCGGAAUUAUUGGGCGUAAAGAGCUCGUAGGCGGUCUGUCGCGUCGGCUGUGAAAACCCGGGGCUCAACCCCGGGCCUGCAGUCGAUACGGGCAGACUAGAGUGCGGUAGGGGAGACUGGAAUUCCUGGUGUAGCGGUGAAAUGCGCAGAUAUCAGGAGGAACACCGGUGGCGAAGGCGGGUCUCUGGGCCUUACCUGACGCUGAGGAGCGAAAGCGUGGGUAGCGAACAGG
rnacentral:rRNA from 1 species